GCCAGGCAUGGUGGUGCAUACCUGUAAUCCCAGCAGCUCAGGAGGAUGAGGCAGGAGGAUUGCGAGUUCAAACCAGCCUCAACAAUGGCGAGAUGCUAAGCAACUGAGUGAGACCCUGUCUCUA
rnacentral:sRNA from 1 species